GUCAUUGUCUGGUGUUAAACGCCCACAAUUUUUAAUGUAAACCCCUUCGAUGAGGUUCACUGUCUCUCGUAUUCUACAAAUCUCCCUCGAAUAGAUUCUGCACGAUUGAUUACUUGCAUUAUUCGCGCAAAUUACGCCAGGAUUGUUAUUAGACGACGCGAUCAAAGAAAUCCAUUCCUUUUUCGAAAAUACAACAGUAAACACUGAGGAACGAAGAAAAGGUCAUUGCGAAGAAAUCCAUUCUUUCUUCGAAGAUACCACAGUUAACACUGAGUAACGAAGAAAAGGUCAUUGCGAAGGU